rnacentral:rRNA from 1 species
CCUACGGGGGGCAGCAGUGAGGAAUAUUGGUCAAUGGCCGGAAGGCUGAACCAGCCAAGCCGCGUGAAGGACGAAGGUGCCAAGCAUUGUAAACUUCUUUUGUCAAGGGACAAAAUCAGGCUCGAGAGCCUGACCGAGGGUACUUGAAGAAAAAGCAUCGGCUAACUCCGUACCAGCAGCCGCGGUAAUACGGAGGAUGCGAGCGUUAUCCGGAUUUAUUGGGUUUUAGGGGUGCGUAGGCGGACUGUAAAGACAGCGGUAAAAGCCCGGGGCUAAACCCCGGCGAGCCGUUGAAACUGGCUGUCUUGAGAGGACGAGAGGUAUGCGGAAUGCGGAGUGUAGCGGUGAAAUGCGUAGAUAUUACGCAGAACUCCGAGUGCGAAGGCGGCAUACCGGCGGCGAACUGACGCUGAGGCACGAAAGCGUGGGUAUCGAACAGGAUUAGAUACCCUAGUAGUC